CGAGCGGCGGACGAUUGAAAAUGGGUGGGAAACUGAUGAUGGAAGGGGACAACUCCGGAAACCGUACCUGGCGUGGAGGACCUCSAACAGCCAAGUGGGGGAUCUUCCGACCUCACCCAAUCCGAUGUGCCCACAUGGGARUAGCUAGUAGGUGAGGUAAUGGCUCUUUGUGCUUACGAUCCCUAGCUGGUCCGAGAGGAUGACCARCCUCCCUGGAACUGAGACACGGACCAUACUCCUACGGGGUUUUGCUCUGGGGAAUAUUGCACAAUGGGCGCACGCCUGAUGCAGCCAUGCCGCGGGUGUGAAGAAGGCCUURGGGUUGUAAAGCGCUUUCAGCSAGGAGGAAGGCAUCACGAUUAARACGUGUGGUGAUUGACGUUACUCACAAAARAAGCACCGCCUAACUCCUUGCCAGCUGCC
rnacentral:rRNA from 1 species